UACGUAGGGACCAAGCGUUGUUCGGAUUUACUGGGCGUAAAGGGCGCGUAGGCGGCAAUUCAAGUCAGCUGUGAAGUCUCCGGGCUUAACUCGGAACGGUCAAGUGAUACUGUCGGACUAGAGUACAGAAGGGGCAACUGGAAUUCUCGGUGUAGCGGUGAAAUGACGUAGAUAUCGAGAGGAACACCUGUGGCGAAGGCGGAUCUCUGGGCCAUUACUGACGCUGGAGGAGCGAAAGCCGUGGGGAGCGAACAGG
rnacentral:rRNA from 1 species